ACGAACGCUGGCGGCAGGCUUAACACAUGCAAGUCGAACGCCCCGCAAGGGGAGUGGCAGACGGGUGAGUAACGCGUGGGAAUCUACCCAGUCCUUCGGAACAACACAGGGAAACUUGUGCUAAUACCGGAUACGCCCUACGGGGGAAAGAUUUAUCGGGAUUGGAUGAGCCCGCGUUGGAUUAGCUAGUUGGUGAGGUAAAAGCUCACCAAGGCGACGAUCCAUAGCUGGUCUGAGAGGAUGAUCAGCCACACUGGGACUGAGACACGGCCCAGACUCCUACGGGAGGCAGCAGUGGGGAAUAUUGGACAAUGGGCGCAAGCCUGAUCCAGCCAUGCCGCGUGAGUGAUGAAGGCCUUAGGGUUGUAAAGCUCUUUCAGUGGGGACGAUAAUGACGGUACCCACAGAAGAAGCCCCGGCUAACUUCGU
rnacentral:rRNA from 1 species